rnacentral:rRNA from 1 species
GACGAACGCUGGCGGCGUGCUUAACACAUGCAAGUCGAACGGAAAGGCCCCUUUGGGGGUACUCGAGUGGCGAACGGGUGAGUAACACGUGAGUAACCUGCCCUUGACUUCGGGAUAACUUCAGGAAACUGGGGCUAAUACCGGAUAGGAAUCCUUGCUGCAUGGUGGGGGUUGGAAAGCUUCGGCGGUUUUGGAUGGACGCGCGGCUUAUCAGCUUGUUGGUGGGGUAGUGGCUUACCAAGGCUUUGACGGGUAGCCGGCCUGAGAGGGCGACCGGCCACAUUGGGACUGAGAUACGGCCCAGACUCCUACGGGAGGCAGCAGUGGGGAAUAUUGCACAAUGGGCGGAAGCCUGAUGCAGCAACGCCGCGUGCGGGAUGACGGCCUUCGGGUUGUAAACCGCUUUCAGCAGGGGCGAAGCUUUUGUGACGGUACCUGCAGAAGAAGCACCGGCUAACUACGUG